GCCGCGGUGAUGGAAUGGUAGACAUACGGGACUCAAAAUCCCGCGAUAGCGAUAUCAUGAGAGUUCGAGUCUCUCCCGCGGCACCA
rnacentral:tRNA from 1 species